GGUCGCGAUAAUGCUCGAAGCGCGGGAAGCGCAUGUCCCGACAGAACGAAGGAAAAGAGGAAGGGUUUUGACAGUUGUGUGACUAGUGAAAGUUGUAUUACACGGUUAAAAUUGGAACUGAAAAUGAUGAUUUGCGGUCCGAAGCUCUCCCUCUGCAUCAUUAUGAUUAGUGUGUGGGGCUUCUUUCAGUUGGUAUUAAUGGGUAUUUUUUAUAAUUUUACAAAUAUUGCGUUAGGGGAAGAUCUUGCAAGGGUUGAAGAAGUCAGUUUUGGAAAAACAGAAGAAUGCUAUAAGACUGCUGACAGAAAUUAUGUACAAGAUUCUCAGUGUUGAUGACUCCAGACUGUUGAUACUGGAACAAGUGGUCAGCAUACAUUUGCACAAAUCCUGAACAUUUCUUGCCCCAGCCAUGUUUUUCAAAGAAGAAACUGGAAUAAUUAAUGGGAACCUUUGCCACAGUGCAUUA